AUAUAACAUUUGUUUACAUUACAAAAUAAAGGGCAUGGACGAUUUUACCUAGGAAUAUUAAUGACAUGGACAUAAUUCCCUAGAAAAAUUAGUCUGAGGACAUACAUUUUAUUAAAAAUAUAAACAAACAACUCUUAUAAGUUUCCAUUGUUUAAACUUAAAUGAUUUGAUUCAUUAAUAGUUUUCCUAUAAAGAGGACAUGGACGUUUUUACCUAGGAAUAUUAAUGACAUGGACUACAACUCCUAGGAAAAUUAGUCUGGGGACAUAAAUUACUAACAUCGGACAAAAAAUACUAGUAAAUUUUGUAACCAUGGACUUUUUCUACUAGUUAUAUGUGUCCACCCAGACAUAUUUUACCAGGACAAAUUUAUCUCUUACA
rnacentral:lncRNA from 1 species